rnacentral:rRNA from 1 species
UACGGAGGAUGCAAGCGUUAUCCGGAUUCAUUGGGUUUAAAGGGUGCGCAGGCGGAAUGAUAAGUCAGUGGUGAAAUCUCCCGGCUCAACCGGGAAACUGCCAUUGAUACUGUCGUUCUUGAGUACAGUUGAAGUGGGCGGAAUGUGUCAUGUAGCGGUGAAAUGCUUAGAUAUGACACAGAACACCGAUAGCGAAGGCAGCUCACUAAGCUGUAACUGACGCUCAUGCACGAAAGCGUGGGGAUCAAACAGGAUUAGAUACCCUGGUAGUCCACGCUGUAAACGAUGAUCACUCGUUGUUGGCGAUAUACUGUCAGCGACUGAGCGAAAGCAUUAAGUGAUCCACCUGGGGAGUACGGCGGCAACGUUGAA